rnacentral:lncRNA from 1 species
UGAUGGUUUAUUCGGAUUUCUCAGAAAAGCUCAGCCUCUCCUUCGAAGGCUUUGGUGUUGGCAGCUCCUGCUCCAUCACCUUCUGCUGAGGCUGCUUCAUCCAAACCAACUGAUGAAGAGACUACGCAUAAAGAGAAACCUUCAGUCCCGAAAUCUUCAUCACAACCAAUGGAUGAGCCACCUUCUUUCCAGGGCGUCAGCCCCCCAAACGUUGAACCAGAAGGUAAUACAUUUUUUGAUAUUUUACCUUUACUUGAGCUAUUGGUUUUUGAUUUGUUACUUUCUAAGUUUUGUAGAUGCUCCCAUGGGUUUGCCCAUUGUGGCAAAGUCUUCUCGCUCAGACAAGGGGAAGUCUUCACAAGUGGUGGAGCCACAGGUGGUAGAUUUGGCUGGGGAUAUGCCACCUCUCAAGAUUGCUGAUGAGGUAAUCUCUGCUUCACUUUUAUGUCCACUUUGUUCAUUGUAGUGAAAACCUUCAAUGUUGGCAACUUUCUUUGCAGGAUGCUGAUAAGAUUGUGCGUUCCAUCCAGGACUUGUUCACUUCCUGGGGACAAGUCAAGACGUCUCGCCCUGCUUCAACCAGUCGUCCUUCUGCUUCUUCAAAGGAAGAUAUUAAGUUCCUCAAGCAGUCGAUAUUUAAGUAUGUGUUCUUCAUGGAUAUGAACAUCGGUCAGGCUAGUGCUACCAAACAUAAGGAUAAGCUUGAGCAUUUGAGUGCGAAGUUGGAGCAAGCACUAACACUUCCGUCGCUCAAUCUUUCUGCUGAUUUUAAAGCGACGUUGAAAGUUGUCCAUUCCGAAGUUCUCUCCUUGUUGACCAAAAAUGUUGAACUGAAGGCCAAAAGUACUCAAUAUCUUCGCGCUGUAUUUGAAAGAGAAUCUUUGCUUCUGGAGAUCAACAAAGUUGAGGACGAAUUGAAAGAAAUCUCUUCUGAAGUCAUAAUUGAAGACUCUUUGAUGACCAGUUUGGCUGCACAGAUGGAGGAGUUUCAAGCAAAGAUGGACGACUACAAUACGAGAAUGGCUGCCAAAAAAUGCAAUGCCUCCCAAGGAAUUGAACGAACCAAGUCUUUGGUCGAGCAGUACAAGAAGCUGGAGGUUGAUGAUGAUUUUGUGGCUGAGUUGAAUGUCACUUCUUCUCAGCAGAGCGAGAAUUGGAGGAGACUUAGGGAAAGGAUUCGUUCAGUCUGGGGUGAUUUGUAAUUAAGACAUCUAAUGCCUUAACUUUUCUUUUUGUAAUUUCAUAUUAAUUUUUCCUUUGUAACCUCGCACUGAAUUCUGAACAUACCAACAACCAUUAUCAUUAAUGAACGAUUAACUUGUCUUCUUGUGUAUUUAUUGACGUUGCCUUUAAUCGUCAACCCCUCAAACAUUUAACUGUUUUAUGCUAAGAUUCACG